GCCACUAUAGCUCAGUGGUUCGAGCACUGGUUUUGUAAACAAGGGGUUGUGAGUUCAAUUCUCACCAGUGGCU